UUUUAUUUAUCAGGCAAGGGUUCCUACUGGAAGAAUUAUUUUGGAAUUGCCUACUGGAAUGUUGGAUGAUGACAAGGGUGAUUUCGUUGGCACUGCAGUUCGUUGAAGAGGAGACUGGCAUAAAGUUCAAACUUGAAGACAUGGUUGAUCUCACUGCUUUCUUGGAUUCUUCAACAGGAUGCAGAUUUUUUCCCUCACCGGCUAGUAUUGGAAUGGAUAACUUGAACGCUUAAUGCACAAAGUGGAGCAGUUUUAGGUUGAUUUUGAUCUUUUACUAAGUAUUUAGGUUGAUGAUCAUCUCUAUUAGUGUAAUUUGAUAUAUUAUGAGCAGUUCUAACUUGUAUUGUUUCUGUAUUUUUCUUCGGUUUUUAGUUUUGGAAUUUGAACUCGAAAUUUAUUUUGUAUUUGAGUAAUAGUUUUUUAAUGUAUAAAACAAUUAUAG